rnacentral:lncRNA from 1 species
GCUCUGUGGGGGUGGUCCUCACCCACAGAGAUCCCCAUGCAAGGGCAUCUGGAAGGGACACUGGUCUUUACCGUUCAGGGUGGCAGCGGAAGUCGUGCGACCCCACACUCUGACUCACGCUUCUUCUACCUUUCUAAACUUGGAAGCCGGGCCUGUGUCUGCUGUCUGCCAGGUGAGGACGCAGUGCGAAGAUGGCAGCCUGCGAGCCGGAAAGGGGACUCUCGCGAGACUCUGAGCGAGCUGGCAUCCUGACCUCAGACUUCCGGCCUGCAGACCUGGGGACGUCUGCUGUUUUAGCUGCCUGCCUUGGGGUCUAUCCCUGUGGCAGCCUGAGCUGAGACAGAAGUCAUUUCCUAAGGUCAGAAGCUCAGAAUAAAGAACCAUUUCUACCUAAGUCCAGCGCAGUUUUCCACUCGUGGUGCCUUUUUUGAGAGGAGCUUGCUGUAUUCUCCAGAUCCUGUGCAGAUUCAUGUCUGGGGCGGUAAAUUGGCUCGAUGGGAUUGAUGAUUUAUUUAGCUGAGUUGUCCCAGCUCAACUGGAGUCAGUCAGGUAAGGAGUGGGUCAGUUGGGGGAUUAAGGCAUUAUAUAUGCUUUUAAAAGGUUCAGGAACCAGAAGCCCCCAAAUGACAAUCUGGGAAGCAGGAGCCAAUAGUGUUUUUAUUCAUUUUUCAAGCUGAGAUGAAGACAAGCAUUUUAUUGGUUUUUAAUUUGAUACCAGUGAGCUCUCCCACACCAAUCAAGGCUUCCCCUGCUUAUGACCUGGGAGGGCUUCUGAUCUGAGAGGCUAUUCUGAGAGAUGGUUAGGGACUUGGGCAAACACAUG